rnacentral:rRNA from 1 species
UUAAGCGACUAAGCGUACACGGUGGAUGCCCUGGCAGUCAGAGGCGAUGAAGGACGUGCUAAUCUGCGAUAAGCGUCGGUAAGGUGAUAUGAACCGUUAUAACCGGCGAUUUCCGAAUGGGGAAACCCAGUGUGAUUCGACACACUAUCAUUAACUGAAUCCAUAGGUUAAUGAGGCGAACCGGGGGAACUGAAACAUCUAAGUACCCCGAGGAAAAGAAAUCAACCGAGAUUCCCCCAGUAGCGGCGAGCGAACGGGGAGCAGCCCAGAGCCUGAAUCAGUGUGUGUGUUAGUGGAAGCGUCUGGAAAGGCGCGCGAUACAGGGUGACAGCCCCGUACACAAAAAUGCACAUGCUGUGAGCUCGAUGAGUAGGGCGGGACACGUGGUAUCCUGUCUGAAUAUGGGGGGACCAUCCUCCAAGGCUAAAUACUCCUGACUGACCGAUAGUGAACCAGUACCGUGAGGGAAAGGCGAAAAGAACCCCGGCGAGGGGAGUGAAAAAGAACCUGAAACCGUGUACGUACAAGCAGUGGGAGCACGCUUAGGCGUGUGACUGCGUACCUUUUGUAUAAUGGGUCAGCGACUUAUAUUCUGUAGCAAGGUUAACCGAAUAGGGGAGCCGAAGGGAAACCGAGUCUUAACUGGGCGUUAAGUUGCAGGGUAUAGACCCGAAACCCGGUGAUCUAGCCAUGGGCAGGUUGAAGGUUGGGUAACACUAACUGGAGGACCGAACCGACUAAUGUUGAAAAAUUAGCGGAUGACUUGUGGCUGGGGGUGAAAGGCCAAUCAAACCGGGAGAUAGCUGGUUCUCCCCGAAAGCUAUUUAGGUAGCGCCUCGUGAAUUCAUCUCCGGGGGUAGAGCACUGUUUCGGCAAGGGGGUCAUCCCGACUUACCAACCCGAUGCAAACUGCGAAUACCGGAGAAUGUUAUCACGGGAGACACACGGCGGGUGCUAACGUCCGUCGUGAAGAGGGAAACAACCCAGACCGCCAGCUAAGGUCCCAAAGUCAUGGUUAAGUGGGAAACGAUGUGGGAAGGCCCAGACAGCCAGGAUGUUGGCUUAGAAGCAGCCAUCAUUUAAAGAAAGCGUAAUAGCUCACUGGUCGAGUCGGCCUGCGCGGAAGAUGUAACGGGGCUAAACCGAUGCACCGAAGCUAGCGGCAGCGACGCUGAUGCGUUGUUGGGUAGGGAGCGUUCUGUAAGCCUGUGAAGGUGUGCUGUGAGGCAUGCUGGAGGUAUCAGAAGUGCGAAUGCUGACAUAAGUAACGAUAAAGCGGGUGAAAGGCCCGCUCGCCGGAAGACCAAGGGUUCCUGUCCAACGUUAAUCGGGGCAGGGUGAGUCGACCCCUAAGGCGAGGCCGAAAGGCGUAGUCGAUGGGAAACAGGUUAAUAUUCCUGUACUUGGUGUUACUGCGAAGGGGGGACGGAGAAGGCUAUGUUGGCCGGGCGACGGUUGUCCCGGUUUAAGCGUGUAGGCUGGUUUUCCAGGCAAAUCCGGAAAAUCAAGGCUGAGGCGUGAUGACGAGGCACUACGGUGCUGAAGCAACAAAUGCCCUGCUUCCAGGAAAAGCCUCUAAGCAUCAGGUAACAUCAAAUCGUACCCCAAACCGACACAGGUGGUCAGGUAGAGAAUACCAAGGCGCUUGAGAGAACUCGGGUGAAGGAACUAGGCAAAAUGGUGCCGUAACUUCGGGAGAAGGCACGCUGAUAUGUAGGUGAAGCGACUUGCUCGUGGAGCUGAAAUCAGUCGAAGAUACCAGCUGGCUGCAACUGUUUAUUAAAAACACAGCACUGUGCAAACACGAAAGUGGACGUAUACGGUGUGACGCCUGCCCGGUGCCGGAAGGUUAAUUGAUGGGGUUAGCGCAAGCGAAGCUCUUGAUCGAAGCCCCGGUAAACGGCGGCCGUAACUAUAACGGUCCUAAGGUAGCGAAAUUCCUUGUCGGGUAAGUUCCGACCUGCACGAAUGGCGUAAUGAUGGCCAGGCUGUCUCCACCCGAGACUCAGUGAAAUUGAACUCGCUGUGAAGAUGCAGUGUACCCGCGGCAAGACGGAAAGACCCCGUGAACCUUUACUAUAGCUUGACACUGAACAUUGAGCCUUGAUGUGUAGGAUAGGUGGGAGGCUUAGAAGUGUGGACGCCAGUCUGCAUGGAGCCGACCUUGAAAUACCACCCUUUAAUGUUUGAUGUUCUAACGUUGACCCGUAAUCCGGGUUGCGGACAGUGUCUGGUGGGUAGUUUGACUGGGGCGGUCUCCUCCUAAAGAGUAACGGAGGAGCACGAAGGUUGGCUAAUCCUGGUCGGACAUCAGGAGGUUAGUGCAAUGGCAUAAGCCAGCUUGACUGCGAGCGUGACGGCGCGAGCAGGUGCGAAAGCAGGUCAUAGUGAUCCGGUGGUUCUGAAUGGAAGGGCCAUCGCUCAACGGAUAAAAGGUACUCCGGGGAUAACAGGCUGAUACCGCCCAAGAGUUCAUAUCGACGGCGGUGUUUGGCACCUCGAUGUCGGCUCAUCACAUCCUGGGGCUGAAGUAGGUCCCAAGGGUAUGGCUGUUCGCCAUUUAAAGUGGUACGCGAGCUGGGUUUAGAACGUCGUGAGACAGUUCGGUCCCUAUCUGCCGUGGGCGCUGGAGAACUGAGGGGGGCUGCUCCUAGUACGAGAGGACCGGAGUGGACGCAUCACUGGUGUUCGGGUUGUCAUGCCAAUGGCAUUGCCCGGUAGCUAAAUGCGGAAGAGAUAAGUGCUGAAAGCAUCUAAGCACGAAACUUGCCCCGAGAUGAGUUCUCCCUGACCCUUUAAGGGUCCUGAAGGAACGUUGAAGACGACGACGUUGAUAGGCCGGGUGUGUAAGCGCAGCGAUGCGUUGAGCUAACCGGUACUAAUGAACCGUGAGGCUUAACCUU